rnacentral:lncRNA from 1 species
UGCACAUUGAACACAGUUGUGUAUAAUGGCAGGGUAUUCCUAGCAAACAGAAUGGGCUGGUUUGCAGACAAACUGAAAGGGUUUUAAGGUUUUAAGCAAUCUUGGGUCAAAUUGGUUAAAUAGUACGUUAAAAUAUGGGGUUUCAUAGAUUGAAGUACAGUAUUGUAUCCAAGGGUAGCGCAUGUUCAAUUAAGUUUAAAACUAAUGAUUGGGGGAAUACAAUGGAAGUAUAAGUAUUUUUAGGUUUUGUUUGUAGUUAACUUUUGGGUUUCUGAAUCGGUGUAGUAUGAGGAAAUGUUGACCAAGCGGUUAUUUUAUGGAAUAAGGAGCGCUUAGCUCUUUGGGGAAAAGUUCCUAGGGACAGGAUAUCUUAAAGGCGUAGACACACAUGGCAUUUUGAAGUUUUGUUUUCUGAGUUUUGAUUAAGCACGUGAAAUUAUUUUAAUAGGGAAUGUUCUGGGAAAUUGAGAUACAAAAUGUAGAUAAAGGUACUAGCUUCAUUUGUCUAAUAUAGUAAGAAACACGGUUCUGAAAAGGGGGUGGGACUUUUAACCCCUCUGGUGACUUUUCCGGUGUGGUCUGAUCAGCCACAUUGAAAAGCCAUUUGGAUGGUGAAUUUAAGGUCAUUGGUGUUAUUGAUUUUAAGGGAAUUUGUAGAACUGAUAAUUAUGAUGGAGUUAAAGUUCUUAGAGACAAUUGAUAAUUUGAACCAAUGAGAAGACUAAAAGGGCAAAGCCUUAGAAUAAGGGUAGGCUUUCUUAAGUCUAUUUUCCUAGAACAAUAAGGGUACAUUAAUUUUCCUUUAUGGUAGUUCAGAUGUUUAUUUUCCCUUAGGAAGUCAGCUGUGGUUGUAAGCAGUGGAAGAGAUUUAACACAACAAGGCUGUGGAAUUGAUAUACUAGUAUUACUAUAUUUUGUUGUGAAUAAGUUUAAUAAUGGUAGACUUAUGUCAACAGAACAGGGAUACAUGACAUCUGUAGGUGAUCCAGGAUUAUUGAGGGUAUCGAGAUAAAUUUAAGUAGAUAUGCAAUAUCUAGACAGGUUGAUUUUUCUAAAGUUCAGGAGUGCAACCAAGGAGACAAUGAGACAUUUAGUCAAUAUUUGGAAACAACCAUAUUAUGAGAAAAAGCUGGAGACAGAUAGAAGGGCAGACAGAGAGAUCCUCCCCUGCACUGCUGAAACCUUGAGGUUUGGGGAGUAGCAGGAAGAAAGGAGGGGGGCCAGCAGGAGUAGAUAGGAAGAGAAUUUGGUUAACUUAGCUUUAGGAUAUUAAUUCA